rnacentral:rRNA from 1 species
CAGCCGCCGCGGUAAAACGAAGGGUGCAAGCGUUACUCGGAAUUACUGGGCGUAAAGCGUGCGUAGGUGGUGGUUUAAGUCCGUUGUGAAAGCCCUGGGCUCAACCUAGGAAUUGCAGUGGAUACUGGGUCACUAGAGUGUGGUAGAGGAUAGUGGAAUUUCCGGUGUAGCAGUGAAAUGCGUAGAGAUCGGAAGGAACAUCUGUGGCGAAGGCGACUGUCUGGGCCAACACUGACACUGAGGCACGAAAGCGUGGGGAGCAAACAGGAUUAGAUACCCCCGUAGUCCCUGUCUCUUAUAA